rnacentral:snoRNA from 1 species
UGCGCGCGUCUAAGUGAUGGCUUGCACGACAAACUAUUGAAGAAAACCGAAUGACCGGCCUGUGGAAAGUAAACGCCAAUGCACUUUACUGAUGGAC